rnacentral:rRNA from 1 species
GGGACACGUGGUAUCCUGUCUGAAUAUGGGGGGACCAUCCUCCAAGGCUAAAUACUCCUGACUGACCGAUAGUGAACCAGUACCGUGAGGGAAAGGCGAAAAGAACCCCGGCGAGGGGAGUGAAAAAGAACCUGAAACCGUGUACGUACAAGCAGUGGGAGCACCUUCGUGGUGUGACUGCGUACCUUUUGUAUAAUGGGUCAGCGACUUAUAUUCUGUAGCAAGGUUAACCGUAUAGGGGAGCCGAAGGGAAACCGAGUCUUAACUGGGCGUUAAGUUGCAGGGUAUAGACCCGAAACCCGGUGAUCUAGCCAUGGGCAGGUUGAAGGUUGGGUAACACUAACUGGAGGACCGAACCGACUAAUGUUGAAAAAUUAGCGGAUGACUUGUGGCUGGGGGUGAAAGGCCAAUCAAACCGGGAGAUAGCUGGUUCUCCCCGAAAGCU